UACGUAGGGUGCAAGCGUUAAUCGGAAUUACUGGGCGUAAAGCGUGCGCAGGCGGUUAUGUAAGACAGGGGUGAAAUCCCCGGGCUUAACCUGGGAACUGCAUUUGUGACUGCAUAGCUAGAGUACGGUAGAGGGGGAUGGAAUUCCGCGUGUAGCAGUGAAAUGCGUAGCUAUGCGGAGGAACACCGAUGGCGAAGGCAAUCCCCUGGACCUGUACUGACGCUCAUGCACGAAAGCGUGGGGAGCAAACAGG
rnacentral:rRNA from 1 species